CCUACGGGGGGCUUCAGUGGGGAAUAUUGGACAAUGGGGGGAACCCUGAUCCAGCCAUGCCGCGUGUGUGAAGAAGGCCCUCGGGUUGUAAAGCACUUUCAGUGAGGAAGAACGCCUGGUGGUUAAUACCCAUCAGGAAAGACAUCACUCACAGAAGAAGCACCGGCUAACUCCGUGCCAGCAGCCGCGGUAAUACGGAGGGUGCGAGCGUUAAUCGGAAUUACUGGGCGUAAAGCGCGCGUAGGUGGCUUGAUAAGCCGGUUGUGAAAGCCCCGGGCUCAACCUGGGAACGGCAUCCGGAACUGUCAAGCUAGAGUGCAGGAGAGGAAGGUAGAAUUCCCGGUGUAGCGGUGAAAUGCGUAGAGAUCGGGAGGAAUACCAGUGGCGAAGGCGGCCUUCUGGACUGACACUGACACUGAGGUGCGAAAGCGUGGGUAGCAAACAGGAUUAGAUACCCUUGUAGUC
rnacentral:rRNA from 1 species